UCCAGACUCCUACGGGAGGCAGCAGUGGGGGAUAUUGCACAAUGGGGGAAACCCUGAUGCAGCGACGCCGCGUGUGGGAAGACGGUCCUCUGGAUUGUAAACCACUGUCCCCAGGGACGAGGAUGACGGUACCUGGGGAGGAAGCUCCGGCUAACUACGUGCCAGCAGCCGCGGUAAUACGUAGGGGGCGAGCGUUAUCCGGAUUCACUGGGUGUAAAGGGAGCGUAGACGGCCAUGCAAGCCAGGGGUGAAAGCCCGGGGCCCAACCCCGGGACUGCCCUUGGAACUGUGCGGCUAGAGUGCGGGAGGGGCAGGCGGAAUUCCUGGUGUAGCGGUGAAAUGCGUAGAUAUCAGGAGGAACACCGGCGGCGAAGGCGGCCUGCUGGACCGCGACUGACGUUGAGGCUCGAAAGCGUGGGGAGCGAACAGGAUUAGAUACCCUGGUA
rnacentral:rRNA from 1 species